GGCUUCGUAGUGUAGUGGUUAUCACCUCGGAUUCUGAUUCAUGCUGUAUAAAUGCACCGAAAUCGCCUUCCGGUAACCCCGGUUCGAGCCCGGGCGAGGCCU